rnacentral:rRNA from 1 species
AUUGAACGCUGGCGGAAUGCUUUACACAUGCAAGUCGAGCGGCAGCGCGGGGCAACCUGGCGGCGAGCGGCGAACGGGUGAGUAACACAUCGGAACGUGCCCAGACGUGGGGGAUAGCCCGGCGAAAGCCGGAUUAAUACCGCAUACGAUCUGAGGAUGAAAGCGGGGGAUCGCAAGACCUCGCGCGUUUGGAGCGGCCGAUGGCAGAUUAGGUAGUUGGUGGGGUAAAGGCUUACCAAGCCUGCGAUCUGUAGCUGGUCUGAGAGGACGACCAGCCACACUGGAACUGAGACACGGUCCAGACUCCUACGGGAGGCAGCAGUGGGGAAUUUUGGACAAUGGGCGCAAGCCUGAUCCAGCCAUUCCGCGUGAGUGAAGAAGGCCU